rnacentral:sRNA from 1 species
GCCAGGUGUGGUGGUUCAUGCCUGUAAUCCCAGUAUCUCAAGAGGCUGAGGCAGGAGGAUCAAGAGUUCAAAGCCAGCCUCAGCAAUUCAGAGAAGUGCUAAGCAACUCAGUGAGAUCCUGUCUCUA